GGGAGAGGAUAUCAGUAGUUUCUUAAACAGGGGGUCUCCGGGUGGGCAAAUUGCUUUGAGGAGGCAGCUCUUUGCUGAGCCUACAGUUGAUAACAUAUUCCACUUUCUUCAAUUACACCUGGCUUCUGCUCUGCAUAGAAGCAAAGGGAAACACAAAAGCUCCUUUCUCAUCGCAGCCUUCUUUCUUCCAUCUCCAUGACCAAUCAUAUAGGAAGCCUGCCUCCCAGAAUUAGGGAAGAGUCCACAGUCCCCUGGAAGUCCUCCUGAUUCUUCUUUUUUCCAAGUUACAUAUCACCCACCAUGCACCUCCUCUACCUUAUGCUUCUGGUCCUUAUAAUUCUCUGCCAGAUGCAAUCAGUGGAUGGGAAGAAUUCUGAAAUUUCUUCUUGUUAUUCUUAUUGGGGCAUCUGCCGGAAUAAAAAAGAAGAUAAAUGUACGCCCUUGCCUGGAAGAUGUCCCAGUCCUAAGAAACAUUGCUGCAAGAGAGGACUUUAAUCUUUUAUGGCAAAAAACUGGAGGAUUUGGAGAGAUUUCUCUCUGAGUUACCUUGUGCUAAAUAAAACUAACAAUGUUUUAUUUCA